rnacentral:rRNA from 1 species
AAUUUUUUUGCAUCGAAAAUUCAGAGAAUUUAAGCUAUUUGCCGAUGCUUUAAACUUUUAACUUUAUGUGAAAAGCAAACGAGUAUAAAAGUGGUAGCAAAACGUUUCUUUGUUCAUUAAAGGUACAUUGUAAAAUUUACUGAAGAAAAAGAAAGUGAGAAUGUUGAUAUUAGUAACGU